rnacentral:lncRNA from 1 species
CAUCCCAGCCUUGGAUUCAUUAAACCUGCUAAUGAAGAUCAGAAGAUAGGUAUAGAAAUUGUCAAAAGAGCACUUAAAAUUCCUGCAAUGACGAUUGCUAAGAAUGCAGGUGUUGAAGGAUCUUUGAUAGUUGAGAAAAUUCUGCAGAGUUCCUCAGAGUUGGUUAUGACGCCAUGCUUGGAGAUUUUGUGAACAUGGUGAAAAGGUUGAUCCAACAAAGGUUGUAAGAACUGCUUUACUGGAUGCUGCUGGGGUGGUCUCCUUGCUAACUACAGCCGAAGCUGUAGUGACAGAAAUUCCUAAAGAAGAGAAGGACCCUGGAAUGGGUUCAAUGAGUGGAAUGCGAGGGGCUGUGGGAGGUGGCCUGUUCUAACUCUUAGAAUAGUGCUUUGCCCUU